ACCAAAAACUCAGGUUGGCUGCUCCCUCCUUCCCUCUCAACGCCUUCAUUGGCCUUGUUCUUGCAAAGACAAAGCCACUGGAAGCAGCAGGAACCCUGCUGCGCUGAGGGAUUUGGAGGGGGCAGUUCCUGUCCCUGGAGGCUCUAUAGAUUGCUGGUCCCAAGGCUCAUCCGAGGGCACCAGGACUUACUCCAAAACCUGUGGUGUGGAACAAGGAGAUACACAAUGCUGCCACAGAGCUGAUGAACCUUCUUCUGCACUGAAGGGAAAAGAGCUGUUUGUUGGGCUCCAAUCAUAUAUCAUUAGCAUUCGCAAAACUCAUUUCCUGCCAGGAACAGCCACUGAGCCCUGAAAAAUCAUAAUUUCAUGCUAGAUUGCCAUGCAAGUUGAAAUAAAUCCCUGAAGCAGCACACCACGUGCUCUGUCCCAAGCAUGGCAUGCAGCCCUUAGAAAGCCCGCUAGAGACGCCGAACACUGUCUUAAAUAGUCCUUUUUAUACACAUAGAUGGUUUUUAAUAAUAUAUAUAACGUGUGUAUGUGAGUAGUAGAUAAAUACCCCAGGGAAUAUAAGUCCCUACGAAUGAUAGCUAUUAUUAGGAAGAAACAGGAGACUCUAUUCCAUCUGUGUGUUAAACAGCAGCUUUAAGGGUAGAGCAUCACUAAAAAAAGCUGACAGUGUGGUUUUUCUUAUCUCUGCUGCCUCCAAACAGAAAAUGAGUGAAUGUUCCCUGGUACUGAGCAAUCGAACGUGAUUACCAAAAGGGACCCUCAGCCGCACACAAUCCUGCUUUUGCUUCGGUGCUUUUUCAGUCGGCUUCUCUGUGAUGCAAUUCCUUAAAAUAAUAUUAAAGAGCAGAUCUGGAGGCUCGGUCCUUUGCUACACGACCUGUGACCGCAACGAGGGCGUGCAGAUUGAUUACCAGUGUGAAAACAGAGGUGUGCGCUUGUGCUGUAAAAGUGGCAACUGCACCGCACGACUACAAAGAGAAACUGCUCCGUUUGGGAACUCUGCCAUAAACACAAUGGCCCGAGCAGGAAGGGUUACGGAGCAGAUAUCUGUGGUCCCCAGAGGGCCUUUGGGCCCCAUAAGUGUUAACUGCUCGCCGUGGAAGUUCUGAGGCCACACGGCUCCAACCCCAAUUCACAGUGAAUAAUAACCAGUGACAACCCAGUGCUGUAUAUUUG